AACGAACGCUGGCGGCGUGGAUAAGACAUGCAAGUCGAACGAGGAACAUGAAUAGCUUGCUAAUUGUGUUCCUAGUGGCGGACGGGUGCGUAACACGUGAGCAACCUGCCCUGAAGUGGGGGAUAGCCCUCCGAAAGGAGGAUUAAUACCGCAUGUGGUCUCCGGACCAAAGAUGGCUUCGGCUGUCGCUUCAGGAUGGGCUCGCGGCCUAUCAGCUUGUUGGUGAGGUAACGGCUCACCAAGGCAACGACGGGUAGCUGGUCUGAGAGGACGAUCAGCCACACUGGAACU
rnacentral:rRNA from 1 species